AGAAAUAUGAGAUUCAAGAAUAAGCUUCUAACUUAAUUCUUAAGCAGUGUAAUUCUGUUUAUAUUUCUUA
rnacentral:tRNA from 1 species